UACGGGGGGGGCAAGCGUUGUUCGGAAUUACUGGGCGUAAAGGGCUCGUAGGCGGCUUUCUAAGUCGGGGGUGAAAUCCUGGAGCUCAACUCCAGAACUGCCUUCGAUACUGGAGAGCUCGAGUCCGGGAGAGGUGAGUGGAACUGCGAGUGUAGAGGUGAAAUUCGUAGAUAUUCGCAAGAACACCAGUGGCGAAGGCGGCUCACUGGCCCGGUACUGACGCUGAGGUGCGAAAGCGUGGGGAGCAAACAGG
rnacentral:rRNA from 1 species